GAUGAACGCUGACAGAAUGCUUAACACAUGCAAGUCCACUUGAACUUCGGUUUGGGUGGCGGCCGGGUGAGUAACGCGUAAAGAACUUGCCUCACAGAUAGGGACAACAUUUGGAAACGAAUGCUAAUACCUGAUAUUAUGAUUUUAGGGCAUCCUAGGAUUAUGAAAGCUAUAUGCGCUGUGAGAGAGCUUUGCGUCCCAUUAGCUAGUUGGAGAGGUAACGGCUCACCAAGGCGAUGAUGGGUAGCCGGCCUGAGAGGGUGAUCGGCCACAAGGGGACUGAGACACGGCCCUUACUCCUACGGGAGGCAGCAGUGGGGAAUAUUGGACAAUGGACCAAGAGUCUGAUCCAGCAAUUCUGUGUGCACGAUGAAGUUUUUCGGAAUGUAAAGUGCUUUCAGUUGGGAAGAAAAAAAUGACGGUACCAACAGAAGAAGUGACGGCUAAAUACGUG
rnacentral:rRNA from 1 species